rnacentral:rRNA from 1 species
UACGGAGGGUGCGAACGUUAAUCGGAAUCACUGGGCGUAAAGCGCGCGUAGGCGGUUUGCUAAGUGGGAUGUGAAAUCCCCGGGCUUAACCUGGGAAUUGCAUUUCAAACUGGCCGACUAGAGUACGGUAGAGGGAGGUAGAAUUUCCUGUGUAGCGGUGAAAUGCGUAGAUAUAGGAAGGAAUACCAGUGGCGAAGGCGGCCUCCUGGAUCGAUACUGACGCUGAGGCGCGAAAGCGUGGGGAGCAAACAGGG